rnacentral:rRNA from 1 species
GAGUAAGGGUGCUCAGCGCCCGACCUCCAACCCUUUGUUGUUAAAACUACCUUGUUGCUUUGGCGGGACCGCUCGGUCUCGAGCCGCUGGGGAUUCGUCCCAGGCGAGCGCCCGCCAGAGUCAAACCAAACUCUUGUUAUUUAACCGGUCGUCUGAGUUAAAAUUUUGAAUAAAUCAAAACUUUCAACAACGGAUCUCUUGGUUCUCGCAUCGAUGAAGAACGCAGCGA